AUGAUGACUACUUGCAUAAUCAUGCAAAACAUGAUUGUGAAGAAUGAGGAAUGGGUGAUCGUAUCCAGCUUCCAGAGCAGCAUGCGGGGACGUUUGAUCAAUUUGUCGCUGGAGAUGGGUGAGACCACACACUGCACCGCGACAACUUGGCGGACACAUCAUCCUGUCCCCCGAUCAGAUCAGAUCAGAUCUGCUGAACAAAAAGACAGAUCCGUGCUGUUUUCUUAUUGUGUUCCUUCAAUCAAUCAAGGAUUCAAAAAGAAGACAAUUCCAGUAAGCACGCACGUUGGGUCUGGAUUGGCAGCGCGUACAUGGAGCCUAAGAAAAAUUGACUACUUGCACUUUGGCAUACGUUUCUUUCCUGCCUACCAUUACCAUGUGGCAUGUGCCGCAUGCAGUCGUGCCGUUGUUUGCUUGUUGUUUGGCCUGCCGCGCGCGCCGCCAGAAAAACCUCACACUUGUUGGUCUCUGUAA
rnacentral:rRNA from 1 species